rnacentral:rRNA from 1 species
CCCUAGAGUCCGGGCUGCACGCGCGCUACACUGACAGAGACAACGAGUGGGGCCCCUUGUCCGAAAUGACUGGGUAAACUUGUGAAACUUUGUCGUGCUGGGGAUGGAGCUUUGUAAUUUUUGCUCUUCAACGAGGAAUUCCUAGUAAGCGCAAGUCAUCAGCUUGCGUUGACUACGUCCCUGCCCUUUGUACACACCGCCCGUCGCUACUACCGAUUGAAUGGCUUAGUGAGGACUUGGGAGAGUACAUCGGGGAGCCAGCAAUGGCACCCUGACGGCUCAAACUCUUACAAACUUGGUCAUUUAGAGGAAGUAAAAGUCGUAACAAGGUAUCUGUAGGUGAACCUGCAGAUGGAUCAUUUCGAUGAAAACCUUUUUUCUGAGGUGUGGCUCGCACCUGUCUAACUAAACUUGAGCUACCUUUUUCAACACGGUUGCAUCGGUGGAGUGGCGAACGCGCGUUCUUGGACGUGUGAGCUCGCCCUUCACACUUUACACAAACACUUUUGAUCUUCUAGGAUUUGAAUGACAAUUUAUGACUGGUAAUUCGGUCGUUUAAAUUUAAAAACAACUUUUGGCAACGGAUCUCUUGGUUCUCCCAUCGAUGAAGAACGCAGCGAAUUGCGAUAAGUAAUGUGAAUUGCAGAAGUGAAUCAUCGAAUCUUUGAACGCACCUUGCGCUCCCUGCAGAUCUAAUCUGGGGAGCAUGCCUGUUUGAGGGCCGCGAAUUGUUUCCAACCACUCUUUUUUUAAUUAAAAAGGGUUGGGCUCGGUAGUGAGGGUUUCUUUUUGCCAUUAACCGGGGCUCCCCCCGAAAUACAUUAACCGCCAUCCCUUUUGAUAGGCAAGAAACGGGACGAAAGCUCCACUUUU